GUUGAACGCUGGCGGCAUGCCUUACACAUGCAAGUCGAACGGCAGCACGGGAGCAAUCCUGGUGGCGAGUGGCGAGCGGGUGAGUAAAGUAUCGGAACGUGCCCAGUCGUGGGGGAUAACGUAGCGAAAGUUACGCUAAUACCGCAUACGAUCUAUGGAUGAAAGCGGGGGAUCGCAAGACCUCGCGCGAUUGGAGCGGCCGAUAUCAGAUUAGGUAGUUGGUGGGGUAAAGGCUCACCAAGCCGACGAUCUGUAGCUGGUCUGAGAGGACGACCAGCCACACUGGGACUGAGACACGGCCCAGACUCCUACGGGAGGCAGCAGUGGGGAAUUUUGGACAAUGGGCGAAAGCCUGAUCCAGCCAUGCCGCGUGCAGGAUGAAGGCCUUCGGGUUGUAAACUGCUUUUGUACGGAACGAAAAGGUUUGGCCUAAUAAGCUGAGCUCAUGACGGUACCGUAAGAAUAAGCACCGGCUAACUACGUGCCAGCAGCCGCCGUAA
rnacentral:rRNA from 1 species